rnacentral:rRNA from 1 species
GAUGAACGCUGGCGGCGUGCCUAAUACAUGCAAGUCGAGCGAACAGACGAGGAGCUUGCUCCUCUGACGUUAGCGGCGGACGGGUGAGUAACACAUGGAUAACCUACCUAUAAGACUGGGAUAACUUCGGGAAACCGGAGCUAAUACCGGAUAAUAUAUUGAACCGCAUGGUUCAAUAGUGAAAGACGGUUUUGCUGUCACUUAUAGAUGGAUCCGCGCCGCAUUAGCUAGUUGGUAAGGUAACGGCUUACCAAGGCGACGAUGCGUAGCCGACCUGAGAGGGUGAUCGGCCACACUGGAACUGAGACACGGUCCAGACUCCUACGGGAGGCAGCAGUAGGGAAUCUUCCGCAAUGGGCGAAAGCCUGACGGAGCAACGCCGCGUGAGUGAUGAAGGUCUGCGGAUCGUAAAACUCUGUUAUUAGGGAAGAACAAAUGUGUAAGUAACUAUGCACGUCUUGACGGUACCUAAUCAGAAAGCCACGGCUAACUACGUG